CCAGUCCUGACUGCAUGCACACGCUG
rnacentral:piRNA from 1 species